GACGCCGUGUCCGAGCGGUUAUGGAGCUUGACUAGAAAUCAAGUAGGCUUUGCCUGCGCAGGUUCGAGUCCUGCCGGCGUCG